GUCUUGUAAUUGGAAUGAUGGCGACGUAAAAGCUCGCCAGAGUACCAAUUGGAGGGCAGUCUGGUGCCAGCAGCCGCGGUAAUUCCAGCUCCAAUAGCGUAUAUUAAACUUGUUGCAGUUAAAAAGCUCGUAGUUGAACUUCAGCCGUUGCGCCGUCCGACUUUGGUUGGUGUUGCGCUGUGGCUUAUCCUUUUACUUUGAGAAAAUUAGAGUGUUUCAAGCAGACUUUUGUCUUGAAUACUUCAGCAUGGAAUAAUAGAGUAGGACCUAUGUUCUAUUUUGUUGGUUUCCGAACGUGGGUAAUGGUUAAUAGGAACGGUUGGGGGCAUUCGUAUUUAACUGUCAGAGGUGAAAUUCUUAGAUUUGUUAAAGACGAACUAGUGCGAAAGCAUUUGCCAAGGACGUUUUCAUUAAUCAAGAACGAAAGUUAGGGGAUCGAAGACGAUCAGAUACCGUCGUAGUCCUAACCAUAAACUA
rnacentral:rRNA from 1 species